rnacentral:rRNA from 1 species
AAUAGCGGAGGAAAAGAAACCAACAGGGAUUGCCCUAGUAACGGCGAGUGAAGCGGCAACAGCUCAAAUUUGAAAGCUAGCCUUCGGGUUCGCAUUGUAAUUUGUAGAGGAUGCUUUGGGUAAAACGCCAGUCUAAGUUCCUUGGAACAGGACGUCAUAGAGGGUGAGAAUCCCGUAUGUGACUGGAAAUGUUAACCUAUGUAAAGCUCCUUCGACGAGUCGAGUUGUUUGGGAAUGCAGCUCUAAAUGGGAGGUAAAUUUCUUCUAAAGCUAAAUAUUGGCGAGAGACCGAUAGCGCACAAGUAGAGUGAUCGAAAGAUGAAAAGCACUUUGGAAAGAGAGUUAAAAAGCACGUGAAAUUGUUGAAAGGGAAGCGCUUGCAAUCAGACUUGUUUAAACUGUUCGGCCGGUCUUCUGACCGGUUUACUCAGUUUGGACAGGCCAGCAUCAGUUUCGGCGGCCGGAUAAAGGCUCUGGGAAUGUGGCCUCCACUUCGGUGGAGGUGUUAUAGCCCAGUGUGUAAUACGGCCAGCCGGGACUGAGGUCCGCGCUUCGGCUAGGAUGCUGGCGUAAUGGUUGUAAGCGACCCGUCUUGAACCCCGGGGACCCAAA